GACAGAGGGUGCAAACGUUGUUCGGAAUUACUGGGCGUAAAGCGCGUGUAGGCGGCCCUGUAAGUCGGGUGUGAAAUCCCACGGCUCACCCGUGGAAGUGCACUCGAAACUACAGGGCUAGAGUCCUGGAGAGGAAGGUGGAAUGCUUGGUGUAGAGGUGAAAUUCGUAGAUAUCAGGAGGAACACCAGUGGCGAAGGCGGCCUUCUGGACAGUGACUGACGCUGAGGCGCGAAAGCGUGGGGAGCAAACAGG
rnacentral:rRNA from 1 species